AUGAGAACUAUGACCCAUCGUCUCCCCCCAGCUGUGGCUGCGGUGGCCGUGGUCUUGGUGGCGCUGACGUGCCUCCACCGGCCAGCUGCCGCGAGCGGCCAUGCCGCGGACCGCAUAGCCCGGCUGCCUGGGCAGCCGGCGGUGGACUUCGACAUGUACUCCGGCUACAUCACCGUGGACGAGGGCGCCGGACGGUCGCUGUUCUAUCUGCUGCAAGAGGCGCCGGAGGACGCCCAGCCGGCGCCGCUCGUGCUGUGGCUCAACGGCGGCCCCGGCUGCUCCUCCGUCGCCUACGGCGCGUCGGAGGAGCUCGGCGCGUUCCGCGUCAAGCCCCGCGGCGCCGGCCUCGUCCUCAACGAGUACCGCUGGAACAAAGUGGCCAACGUGCUGUUCUUGGACUCGCCGGCCGGCGUCGGGUUCUCCUACACCAACACCUCUUCCGACAUCUACACCUCCGGCGACAACAGAACGGCGCACGACUCGUACGCCUUCCUGGCGAAAUGGUUCGAGAGGUUCCCGCACUACAAGUACCGCGACUUCUACAUCGCCGGCGAGAGCUACGCCGGGCACUACGUCCCGGAGCUGUCCCAGCUGGUCCACCGGAGCAAAAACCCCGUCAUCAACCUCAAGGGCUUCAUGGUCGGGAACGGCCUCAUCGACGACUACCACGACUACGUGGGCACCUUCGAGUUCUGGUGGAACCACGGGAUCGUCUCCGACGACACCUACCGCCGCCUCAAGGAGGCCUGCCUCCACGACUCCUUCAUCCACCCCUCGCCGGCGUGCGACGCCGCCACGGACGUCGCCACGGCGGAGCAGGGCAACAUCGACAUGUACAGCCUCUACACGCCCGUCUGCAACAUCACGUCGUCCUCGUCGUUGGCGGCGAGCCGGCCCCGGCCCAGGGGGCGCUACCCAUGGCUGACCGGGUCCUACGACCCGUGCACGGAACGGUACUCGACGGCGUACUACAACCGGCGGGACGUGCAGAUGGCUCUCCACGCCAACGUCACCGGCGCCAUGAACUACACGUGGGCGACCUGCAGCGACACCAUUAAUACCCACUGGCAUGAUGCUCCGAGGUCCAUGCUUCCCAUUUACAGGGAGCUUAUUGCAGCGGGCCUCAGGAUUUGGGUGUUCAGCGGUGACACGGACGCGGUAGUCCCCUUGACAGCAACAAGAUACUCCAUCGGCGGUCUGGGUCUUCCAACUACUACCAGUUGGUACCCUUGGUAUGACGACCAGGAGGUCGGCGGUUGGAGCCAGGUGUACAAGGGCCUUACACUGGUGUCCGUCAGAGGUGCCGGCCAUGAGGUUCCCCUGCAUCGCCCGCGGCAAGCGCUCGUACUGUUUCGGUACUUCCUGCAGGGCGAGCCCAUGCCAGGCCAGACCAAGAAUGCGACGGUGGCUUAG
rnacentral:rRNA from 1 species